GCGGCGGACGGGUGAGUAAUGCAUGGGAAUCUGCCCGAUAGUGGGGGAUAACCUGGGGAAACCCAGGCUAAUACCGCAUACGUCCUACGGGAGAAAGCAGGGGAUCUUCGGACCUUGCGCUAUCGGAUGAGCCCAUGUCGGAUUAGCUUGUUGGUGAGGUAAUGGCUCACCAAGGCGACGAUCCGUAGCUGGUCCGAGAGGAUGAUCAGCCACAUCGGGACUGAGACACGGCCCGAACUCCUACGGGAGGCAGCAGUGGGGAAUAUUGGACAAUGGGCGAAAGCCUGAUCCAGCCAUGCCGCGUGUAUGAAGAAGGCCCUCGGGUUGUAAAGCACUUUCAGUGGGGAAGAAAGCCUCGGGAUUAAUACUUCCGAGGAAGGACAUCACCCACAGAAGAAGCACCGGCUAACUCCGUGCCAGCAGCCGCGGUAAUACGGAGGGUGCGAGCGUUAAUCGGAAUUACUGGGCGUAAAGCGCGCGUAGGCGGUCUGAUCAGCCGGUUGUGAAAGCCCCGGGCUCAACCUGGGAACGGCAUCCGGAACUGUCAGGCUAGAGUGCAGGAGAGGAAGGUAGAAUUCCCGGUGUAGCGGUGAAAUGCGUAGAGAUCGGGAGGAAUACCAGUGGCGAAGGCGGCCUUCUGGACUGACACUGACGCUGAGGUGCGAAAGCGUGGGUAGCAAACAGGAUUAGAUACCCUGGUAGUCCACGCCGUAAACGAUGUCGACUAGCCGUUGGGGUCCUUGAGACCUUUGUGGCGCAGUUAACGCGAUAAGUCGACCGCCUGGGGAGUACGGCCGCAAGGUUAAAACUCAAAUGAAUUGACGGGGGCCCGCACAAGCGGUGGAGCAUGUGGUUUAAUUCGAUGCAACGCGAAGAACCUUACCUACCCUUGACAUCGUGCGAACUUGGUAGAGAUACCUUGGUGCCUUUCGGGAAACGCACAGACAGGUGCUGCAUGGCUGUCGUCAGCUCGU
rnacentral:rRNA from 1 species